CCUACGGGAGGCAGCAGUGGGGAAUUUUGGACAAUGGGCGCAAGCCUGAUCCAGCCAUGCCGCGUGCAGGAAGAAGGCCUUCGGGUUGUAAACUGCUUUUGUACGGAACGAAAAAGCCCUGGUUAAUACCUAGGGCUGAUGACGUACCGAAGAA
rnacentral:rRNA from 1 species